rnacentral:rRNA from 1 species
UGGAAGUAAAAGUCGUAACAAGGUCUCCGUUGGUGAACCAGCGGAGGGAUCAUUG